CCUACGGGAGGCAGCAGUGAGGAAUAUUGGUCAAUGGACGAGAGUCUGAACCAGCCAAGUAGCGUGAAGGAUGACUGCCCUAUGGGUUGUAAACUUCUUUUAUAUGGGAAUAACAUGUUCCACGUGUGGGAUUUUGUAUGUACCAUAUGAAUAAGGAUCGGCUAACUCCGUGCCAGCAGCCGCGGUAAUACGGAGGAUCCGAGCGUUAUCCGGAUUUAUUGGGUUUAAAGGGAGCGUAGGUGGAUUGUUAAGUCAGUUGUGAAAGUUUGCGGCUCAACCGUAAAAUUGCAGUUGAAACUGGCAGUCUUGAGUACAGUAGAGGUGGGCGGAAUUCGUGGUGUAGCGGUGAAAUGCUUAGAUAUCACGAAGAACUCCGAUUGCGAAGGCAGUUCACUGGACUGCAACUGACACUGGGGCUCGAAAGUGUGGGUAUCAAACAGGAUUAGAUACCCCUGGAGUC
rnacentral:rRNA from 1 species